UCCCUGAUAGCUCAGUUGGUAAAGAAUCUGCCUGCAAUGCAGGAGACCCUGGUUCGAUUCCUGAAUUGGGAA
rnacentral:tRNA from 1 species